rnacentral:rRNA from 1 species
UAGCCGUAAACGAUACUCGCUAGGUGUCGGCCACGGUGCGACCGUUGUCGGUGCCGUAGGGAAGCCGUGAAGCGAGCCACCUGGGAAGUACGGCCGCAAGGCUGAAACUUAAAGGAAUUGGCGGGGGAGCACCACAAGGGGUGAAGCUUGCGGUUUAAUUGGAGUCAACGCCGGAAAUCUCACCGGGAGCGACAGCAGUGUGAUAGCCAGAUUAAAGGUCUUGCUUGACGAGCUGAGAGGAGGUGCAUGGCGUAGUCGUGU